GUUUUCCUUGGGCAAAAAGGAAAAAUGAACAUUUUUGGAUGUAAUGGUUUAAUAAAGCAAUUUCUUUCACGCUUGUCAUUGUAAUUCCUUUUAUUUUGGGAAAGCUAGGGUUUGAACUCCCUACCUUUCAAUUCUUGCAGUUUUGAGGAGUCGGCCUUCAAAUUCUGGUUCUGCGUCUCUACUUAUUUAAAUCCAUUUCACAAUCAGAACUUCCCCUUUGAAGAUUGCAUACCCAAAAUCAACCGACCCCUAAUUUUCCAUUAGAAAAUCUCUCUCAAAAAUUCAAUAUUAUUAUUAUUAUUAUUAUUUUCUGUAAAAUCCAGAGCUACACCGUUACCUACACAUAUAUAUACACACCAUACACAUCACAGACGAAGGUAUUAUGCUCAUGUAGUCUUAUUCUUGAAUCGUUUUUCUGUAUAUCCCUUGAUUAUAUGUACGAAAUGCAGUAGGGUUUUGUACCAAAUUAGUAACAAGGCAAUAUUAACUUUUUCAAAUAUAUUUUGCACUGUUUUUUAUGGUUUUGAUAAUCUGUGUUGAAGGAAAUAGAAGGAAAAAGUUGACUCAUGGGUACUUCGACAACUGAGGCCUUUCCCCAAAUUCAGGUACGACUAUUUAUAUAUGUAAAUUAUGUAUGUAAUAAAUCUUUU
rnacentral:lncRNA from 1 species